GCGCAAGCGGGCUUCAGCUUCAGUCUGACACCUUCGACUGCGUGACAACAUGACGCUCGAGAGUCACAACAACAACAACACGUGCGGAUCCUGCAGAUGAGAGCUGUCAAUGUCAGUUUAACAACAUGUUUUUCAGCUAAUCUGCAAAUAAAUCCGACACACGGUCCGAUGAAACGCUGGCAUCGAGUGUGACGCGACUCACCUAAGAAGUGAUGUGUUGUUGGUUGGAAGCAGAGCUCUGGACGUGUGGACAGAUGUUGACUGUAAUGAUGGACAUCUGCUCAUGGACAGUGUGUGCAAAAGUAUAACCGCUGCUGGUCACAGUGCCAGAAGCUCCAGGGGGAGACCGUACUGGUAUCCCCCUUCUUCAGGCACACCUUCACACACACUCCUCCAUUCACUCGUAUUGCAGAGACCUGGCUGGGAUCGAACCAGCAGCCUCUGAACCGUGAGGCAGCGCUCUUACCUGCGAGCCACAGAUCUCUUGCUGGAGCACCUGAAGGAACUUAUAUUUGACUGUUUACCUGUGAUUUCCCAAUAAAGAAGUUGAAAGAAGCUGCGUAUAUGAUUUUUGGAGGUGGGAUUUGAACUCACAUCUCCAUCACAGUCUCAUCUUCAGAGAACAUGUGUUUAUCCACUAACCCAUCAUGGAUUCCACGUUUGUUUUAGCGUUUCAGUGACUUUGUUGGCUGAGAUCGAUUUAAAGUAAGCAAUAGUCUGAUUUGAGUCUGUGGAGCUGAUGAACAUUUCGAACAGGCUUUUAUUGAGAGAUUUGUUCUAAAUGAUGAAUAAUAAUCAUGGGGUUUGAACCAGGACUUUCCUGUUUGUGACUGAUGACUUCAACCACUGAGCCACAGAAGCAGUGAUGCUGUUUUUUGAUUUUAAAGUCAUUUAGAUUUAUUUUAAAGUUUAUAUUGUUGUAGGUUUAAGCUGAGUAAAAGACGUUUAAUGCCAAUUUGAACACAUCUCUGUUGCAGCUUCAUGAGUCAAAAUCCCAUGUAUAGCCACUGCACCACUGUGCUUCAGAUAAAACAGAUGGUUUACUGUCAUUUUAUGUUUGUAAUGUAAACCUCGUUUUCAGUAAAACUUGCUGGAUUUGACACAGUUCUUUUUUUACACCAAAAGGCGAUUAUCCUCUGUACCACUGAGAUUGUGCUGAAUACACUGUUGUCUUUGGUCUUU